GGGCUGGGGUUCCUCGGAAGCAGCAAGCCCCUCAAUCCCUGCACGCAGGUGGCCGCGGCCGGCGCCUUCGCACAGACACUGCGGCGCUACACAUCGCUCAACCACCUGGCGCAGGCGGCGCGCGCUGUGCUGCAGAACACUGCACAGAUCAACCAGAUGCUGAGCGACCUCAACCGCGUGGACUUCGCCAACGUGCAGGAGCAGGCCUCGUGGGUGUGCCGCUGCGAGGACCGCGUGGUGC
rnacentral:sRNA from 1 species